GAAGUAAAGACAAUGGGCUUCAUGGUGAGAAAAUUUGUUAUUACGGUCCUGACAUAUCACCAGGCAGUAUUCAAGGGAAGAAGAAUUUAACAUUUGUGACAGUUCAGUAGCUCUAUUUCUGAUGAAUGAACAACAGCUGUAAAUAGGCCUUUGGAAAUGUUCAGAAUCAUAACUAGCUGAGAUGGAAUUCCUUCUUUAGGAUAUGGCGCAAGAAAGAGGGGAACAUAAGUGCUCUUUUCCACAGGUGGUGGAUACAACAUGCCAAAGAAUAGAUAUUUCUUAUAGGCCGUCAUCACCUCCAGAGAUUCAGCUCAUGCUGACUUAACAAUACCAGAUAUUUAUCGACCAAUAAGAAUUUCGUAAAGAAAAUGGAAAGUGCUCUUCUAUUUUAAUGGAGAAUGAAGGCUCAUCAAUACAACUGUCCCUAGAGCAAACAGGAACAGACAGCGUGUUAUGUGUGGGCCGCAUAACAUUUCCUUGUGUGGUCUUUUUUUUCCACUGUAUUGUUACAUCUGAUAAUUGUCUAUAUUGGGAGUCAGAGGUAGAUUGCACUCGUAUAUGGAAUUAAAAGGAACAGAAAAAGUGAAAAGGCAGCAAAAUAUUGUGUUUUUUUGUGUGUAUCCUCUGAAUUUGCCUCUGAAGUCAUUGGCCUUGAGUGCCUAGGUAAGGCUAAAUUACUCCUUGGAAGGUUCUAUAAAAAAUUCCUUAUUAAGUACACUACAUUUUUUUAGGUCAUGGAAAUAAAAUGAUUUUGACAUUUGCAAUAAUGCUCUGAUUUGAGUUUAGAAGAAAACAUAGCCUGCAAUUGAUUUCACUAACUGGAGUGUGACCUAUAUUGCAAACCCUAUAUCCUUCCUUUAAUUUUUAAAUAAUUAAUUGCCAAGACAUACAAAUACUAAAAAAAUUUGAUUGUUUCUUCAGAGAAUAGUAAUGUCUUUUGUCUUUUUCUUUGGAUGAAAAAAUAAGAUAAUAGCAGAGGAAAUACAAAGCUAAAACACCUGUGAUCCAGCACAACUGUCAGUUAGAAAAGUACAAGUCAAUGUCCAUAGUCAGCUGAUUAAAGUUAAGCAGGUGUAUCAAAAAUGAUGACAGGUACUUGUGCAUAAGAAAGUACGAGCUUCCAUAAUUGAACCUGAUCACUCGAUAUCUUCAUGUGGGCCUAUUUCAUAGAAUCAUUUUAAUGUGAAUGUUUCUGUUAUAAAAGGGAUAUGUUAUGUUUUGCUAAAUAAUUUUAUCUACAUGUUGUAUGUAAUAGAACUGGUCAAUAUAGAUAUAAUUAAGAAGGCCAACCAUAAUUUAUUCAAUAUUGUAUUAGUUCACAGGAAUAAUUUUAAAAACUUGACACUUUAUUGACUGUUCUGCAAUGAGGCAUUAAGUAAUAAUAUGGUGUUUAUUAUUAACUUCAUAUUUAGAUAAACUUAACAUGGGCUUUAAAGAAUUUACUGAAGAGGAUUAAAUACAUUUUUGAGGGGCCACACUCUAUUAUUUUAUUAGAUUAGAUUACUACAGAAAGUAGCUCUGUAUUCAUUUUCUAAUACUGAAAAGUUCUGGCAUUUAGUUGAAAGAUCUGUAUAUCAAAUGUCCAAUCUGCAGUCCCCUUCCUUUUGAUUCAAGUGAAGAACCUUUAUCUGAAUGACAUGGUCAAUACUAUACUGUCUAUACAGAAUGGCUGUUCCUCAGUUCACCCUUGUUGGGAUAUGAACUUUGAAGAUUUCCUUUUAGUUUAUCCUAUAGCCUCUCACUAGUAGCACUUUCUGUAUAUGGCACAUGAUAUAGGUGCCUCGUGUGCAGUAAAUUGCCUGCUCAUGUUGUCCCGGAGGCCUAGAUGUCACGUAAAGGGCAUUCACCUACUUGAAAAAGUUACUGCUUUCCGUAGUAUAAAAUUACUGGAGUAUGCAUAGGACAUGAAUGCUUUCAGUAAUCUGUGGGAUUUUUCCUAAUUAAUGCUAUCUAUCAAGAUAAUUGUUACACACCUCAGAGUAUAAAUAGCCACAUAUUGUAUUCUAAAAGUAGAUCUCUAGUUUCAUUGCCAGAUAUCUCUCAGCACAAACUAGAUUAGUAUGAGAACAACCUGCUUUUGUUUUAAUGCACAAACCAAACUUUGAACAUCUGCAUUCCAAGUACAAAAAAAGUCCAUUGUAAAUAUGUCAGCAAGAAUUAAUAUCAUUAAUGACAUGCUUAUUUGAUCAAGGGAAUACAUUAAAAUACAAAGAGUAAUUUCCUAUGAAAAAAAGUAAUAAGACCAGUAAAAAGGAAUAGAAAUGUCCAAAAAACUUGAGAGAAGAAAAGUGCUUGGACCUUGACUAAGGUCACAAACAUUUAAGUACUGUCAUUGUAAUAUAUGUCAGAAAAGUUAUAGAACUAAGAAAGUUUUAUGUUAUGUAUUUCCUUUAAAGCUUGCAAUCAGGUUUACUCUGAUAUCUUAAUAUCUGUUUUGGUAAUUUGUUAAGGUUUAAAAGGUGAGUAAAAUGUAUACAAGGUAUUGGCUGAGGAACUUUGUGUUGGAAGUUAAUAAACAUCAGUGUCAAAUUGGAAAGAUUUUGCAUAUUUAUAUUGCAAGGAAAAAGUCACUAGGCUUUCUUACUUGGUUAGGAAGGGCACUUCCAUAUGUCAUCUCUAUGAUUUGAAGUGGGCUAUACUUCUCCCUUCUAUUGGUUUAAGAAUUACACACACUGUAUAUUCUUCUACCACGUAAUAACUUAGAAGGAUUUAUUGAAAAGUUCAAAAUAUGCUGUUUUUGUUUUUAUUCCAUUGAUGAAAUAAAUGCAUGAAUGGGAGUAACAGAAUAUAUUAACACAUCUAGAGAAAAAUAUUGUUGCUUAUCCCUGCAUAGCUGCUGGUACAUCACAGAUAGCAACAACAAAAAUCCAUAACCAGUACUAUGAUUUGGAUGUCUUCUCCAUAACUCAUGUUGAAAUUUAACUGCCAUUGUGAUGAUCUUGGCAAGUGGAGCCCCUAAGUGGUGAUUAAGUGGCAGAGUCUUCAUAAAUCCUGUUAUUUCAUGAGUGGUUUAGACUCCUGGGAAUGAGUUCCCCAGGAUAUCCUUUCUCUGUCUCACAGGCUCCUUUGUUCUCUCUCAUCAUGAGAUAUCUUCCACCAUGUUUUCACACAGCAAGGGGAUCCUUAUCAGAUGCAAACCCUCUAUCUGGAAUUUCCAGACUCCAUAGCUAAGAACUGAUAAAAAUUUCUAUUGUUUAUAAUUUGCCCAGUGUGUAGUAUUCUGUUACAGCAAUAGAAAAUGGACUAGGACUACCAGCCAAAAUCUUAGGUCAGAACCUAAAGUGACUCCAGUGAGACAUUAGAUGAAUAACUAAUUAACAAAUCCUAAAAAUUAUAAUUGCAAGCUUUAAAAAAAUAAUCUUAUGAAAGAAUAAGUCUUGUUAUGUAACAUGGACCACUUGGAUCUUACUGUCUCAGCAAGAUGCUAUAAUUCUUAGUAAGCAAAAAUUAAAUACUCAUCUUUAAUUAGAAGUCUAUCUUGUUGAACUUACUCUACUUUUGGAAAACAACCAGUGAUUGCCAAAUACCUUUCAGACAUAACUAUUUGAGGUGACCCUGUUGUUGGCAAAGGGUCUAAUGUAUUGAACAUGUUGGCAAACUCUGAUACUGCUCUUUCUUCACUCAAUACCAUCUAGCUGCACUGGAUUCCUUUUAUUCUGCAUUCUCCCCAAGUUCCUGCCUUUGAUCUUGUUCUCCAUGUCUAAAAUGGUUGACUGCAGGGAGCUCUCCUUUUAAUAUUUCUAGAUAUGAUUCAAAUGAAAUUUUUGUUAAAGCCAAAAUAUCCCAACCUUGUUAAAAUUAGCCAGCUCCCCUCUUUUUAUAAUAUAAUUUGUAUCCCCUUUAUACUGUUUUAUAUACUCUCAUAUUAUCAUAUUUCUUUAUCAAUAUUUAUGAUUUAUUUUUUGUCAUUCCCCCAGAUUGAGUUGUUUAUUAUUGUAUUUCCAGAACAUAGAAGGGGGCUUGGCAUACGAUAGAAAUUCCUUAUUAUUGACUGAGCGCUUAUGUAUGCUGAAAUUACUUCGAAGGAUAAAAAUGCAUUUAUCAAAUGAUACAAUGAAUCACUGACUGAAUUAUCAAUCUGAAAUGUUUAAGUGGAUUCUCCCAACCGUUUCAGGGAACAUAAUCCAAAAAAAAAAAGCAAAGAAAAUGACUGGUUUAAUGAUUUAAAUGAUAAGUGGAACAAUGAGUAAGUAAUCAUGUCACUGCAUAUGUUUUAAAUAUUUCACUCCAUGCUUUUCUUGCAUGCAUGGCUUCUGACAAGGAGUCUGUUGCAAUUCUUGUCCCAGUUUCUCUAUAGGUAAGAUAUUUUUCCCCUGGCUUUUUCUUUUCUAAAGAUUUCACAUCAUUUUUGUUUAUCUGAAGUAUGAAUAUGAUAUGCCUAGGUAUAAUAAUCUUUUUGUUUUAUUCUAAAAUGCUGCUUGUUGUUCUCCGAGCUUCCUGAGUAUGUGGUUUGGUGUUUAUCAUUAAAAUUUGAAAGUUCUCCGUC